rnacentral:misc_RNA from 1 species
GGGGGGUGUGUGUGGCGGAGCAAACGCAAAAUUUCAAGUAAAUUGAUCAAAUCAUGUGCACUCCAUAAACAAAAGAAGCUACCCAAAGAUCAAAUCAGUACAAUUAGAAUCUUAUUCAAAAAACCCAGUAUGUGAAAUCAUCAAUAAAAAACCAAAGCACCAAAAUCUAAACCAGAUCAAUGAAAAAUUUGACCCAAAGAUCAAAACAAUAUAUAUACAAACACACAAAUAGAGAAGGGUAACAUACCGACAUGAAUUCUAGCGAUAGAAGUCUUUCUGGGAAAAGGAAAUGAGUAAUCGGAG